rnacentral:rRNA from 1 species
UACGGAAGGGGCAAGCGUUGUUCGGAAUCAUUGGGCGUAAAGGGCGCGUAGGUGGUUCUGUAUGUCUACCGUGAAAGCGUACGGCUCAACCGUAUUUUGUCGGUGGAAACUGCAGGACUUGAGGCUGGGAGGGGCUGGUGGAAUUCCCUGUGUAGCGGUGAAAUGCGUAGAGAUGGGGGAGAACACCCGUGGCUAAGGCGGCUCUCUAGUACGGUACUGACGCUGAGACGCGAAAGCGUGGGGAGCGAACAGG